rnacentral:rRNA from 1 species
AUUGAACGCUGGCGGCAGGCCUAACACAUGCAAGUCGAACGGUAACAGGAAACAGCUUGCUGUUUCGCUGACGAGUGGCGGACGGGUGAGUAAUGUCUGGGAAACUGCCUGAUGGAGGGGGAUAACCACUGGAAACGGUAGCUAAUACCGCAUAACGUCGCAAGACCAAAGAGGGGGACCUUCGGGCCUCUUGCCAUCGGAUGUGCCCAGAUGGGAUUAGCUAGUAGGUGGGGUAACGGCUCACCUAGGCGACGAUCCCUAGCUGGUCUGAGAGGAUGACCAGCCACACUGGAACUGAGACACGGUCCAGACUCCUACGGGGGGCAGCAGUGGGGAAUAUUGCACAAUGGGCGCAAGCCUGAUGCAGCCAUGCCGCGUGUAUGAAGAAGGCCUUCGGGUUGUAAAGUACUUUCAGCGGGGAGGAAGGGAGUAAAGUUAAUACCUUUGCUCAUUGACGUUACCCGCAGAAGAAGCACCGGCUAACUCCGUGCCAGCCGCCGCCGUAA